rnacentral:rRNA from 1 species
CCUACGGGUGGCAGCAGUGAGGAAUAUUGGUCAAUGGACGAGAGUCUGAACCAGCCAAGUAGCGUGAAGGAUGACUGCCCUAUGGGUUGUAAACUUCUUUUAUAUGGGAAUAAAAUGUUCCACGUGUGGGAUUUUGUAUGUACCCUAUGAAUAAGGAUCGGCUAACUCCGUGCCAGCAGCCGCGGUAAUACGGAGGAUCCGAGCGUUAUCCGGAUUUAUUGGGUUUAAAGGGAGCGUAGGUGGAUUGUUAAGUCAGUUGUGAAAGUUUGCGGCUCAACCGUAAAAUUGCAGUUGAAACUGGCAGUCUUGAGUACAGGAGAGGUGGGCGGAAUUCGUGGUGUAGCGGUGAAAUGCUUAGAUAUCACGAAGAACUCCGAUUGCGAAGGCAGUUCACUGGACUGCAACUGACACUGAGGCUCGAAAGUGUGGGUAUCAAACAGGAUUAGAUACCCUUGUAGUC